rnacentral:rRNA from 1 species
AUUGAACGCUGGCGGCAUGCCUUACACAUGCAAGUCGAACGGCAGCACGGACUUCGGUCUGGUGGCGAGUGGCGAACGGGUGAGUAAAGUAUCGGAACGUACCUUUCAGUGGGGGAUAACGUAGCGAAAGUUGUGCUAAUACCGCAUACGUACUGAGGUAGAAAGUGGGGGACCUUCGGGCCUCACGCUAUUCGAGCGGCCGACGUCUGAUUAGCUAGUAGGUGAGGUAAAGGCUCACCUAGGCGACGAUCAGUAGCGGGUCUGAGAGGAUGAUCCGCCACACUGGGACUGAAACACGGCCCAGACUCCUACGGGAGGCAGCAGUGGGGAAUUUUGGACAAUGGGCGAAAGCCUGACGCAGCAACGCCGCGUGAGCGAAGACGGCCUUCGGGUUGUAAAGCUCUGUCAGGAGGGACGAAGCCACUCGGGUGAAUAGCCCAGAGGGUGACGGUACCUCCAGAGGAAGCCCCGGCUAACUACGUGCCAGCAGCCGCCGUAACAC